GAAGGGAGCUUGCUCCCGGAUGUUAGCGGCGGACGGGUGAGUAACACGUGGGUAACCUGCCUGUAAGACUGGGAUAACUCCGGGAAACCGGAGCUAAUACCGGAUAGUUCCUUGAACCGCAUGGUUCAAGGAUGAAAGACGGUUUCGGCUGUCACUUACAGAUGGACCCGCGGCGCAUUAGCUAGUUGGUGGGGUAAUGGCUCACCAAGGCGACGAUGCGUAGCCGACCUGAGAGGGUGAUCGGCCACACUGGGACUGAGACACGGCCCAGACUCCUACGGGAGGCAGCAGUAGGGAAUCUUCCGCAAUGGACGAAAGUCUGACGGAGCAACGCCGCGUGAGUGAUGAAGGUUUUCGGAUCGUAAAGCUCUGUUGUUAGGGAAGAACAAGUGCGAGAGUAACUGCUCGCACCUUGACGGUACCUAACCAGAAAGCCACGGCUAACUACGUGCCAGCAGCCGCGGUAAUACGUAGGUGGCAAGCGUUGUCCGGAAUUAUUGGGCGUAAAGGGCUCGCAGGCGGUUUCUUAAGUCUGAUGUGAAAGCCCCCGGCUCAACCGGGGAGGGUCAUUGGAAACUGGGAAACUUGAGUGCAGAAGAGGAGAGUGGAAUUCCACGUGUAGCGGUGAAAUGCGUAGAGAUGUGGAGGAACACCAGUGGCGAAGGCGACUCUCUGGUCUGUAACUGACGCUGAGGAGCGAAAGCGUGGGGAGCGAACAGGAUUAGAUACCCUGGUAGUCCACGCCGUAAACGAUGAGUGCUAAGUGUUAGGGGGUUUCCGCCCCUUAGUGCUGCAGCUAACGCAUUAAGCACUCCGCCUGGGGAGUACGGUCGCAAGACUGAAACUCAAAGGAAUUGACGGGGGCCCGCACAAGCGGUGGAGCAUGUGGUUUAAUUCGAA
rnacentral:rRNA from 1 species